rnacentral:rRNA from 1 species
UCGUAACAAGGUCUCCGUUGGUGAACCAGCGGAGGGAUCAUUACCGAGUUUUCAACUCCCUAACCCUUAUGUGAACCUACCUAUUGUUGCUUCGGCGGACUCGCCCCAGCCGGACGCGGACUGGACCAGCGGCCGCCGGGGACCCUCAAACUCUUGUAUUAUCAGCAUCUUCUGAAUACGCCGCAAGGCAAAACAAAUAAAUCAAAACUUUCAACAACGGAUCUCUUGGCUCUGGCAUCGAUGAAGAACGCAGCGAAAUGCGAUAAGUAAUGUGAAUUGCAGAAUCCAGUGAAUCAUCGAAUCUUUGAACGCACAUUGCGCCCGCCAGCAUUCUGGCGGGCAUGCCUGUUCGAGCGUCAUUUCAACCCUCGACCUCCCUUUGGGGAAGUCGGCGUUGGGGACCGGCAGCACACCGCCGGCCCUGAAAUGGAGUGGCGGCCCGUCCGCGGCGACCUCUGCGUAGUAAUCCAACUCGCACCGGAACCCCGACGCGGCCACGCCGUAAAACACCCAACUUCUGAACGUUGACCUCGAAUCAGGUAGGACUACCCGCUGAACUUAAGC